ensembl:lncRNA
UUCCAACACAUCACACGUCAUGUGUGAUGAAUACGUGUUGUGACGGCCCCAGGGCCCUCUACACGCUGUGUCUGUCUGGCAGGUCCCUGGGUGGCUGGGGGCCGUUAGGAGACGCCCAACCUGAAGACAAACGGGGACGUGGUGGUUUAUGUCGUUUGUUCCUUCUUGGUUUCUAUUUAUGGAAUGAAACUUUUUGUUUUAAUACUGGCUGUAAUCAUUGGGGAGCAAGACCGUAACAACGUGAACAUUUACACGUCUGACUACUGCAUGAAAGUAGUAAGACUUCCCGGGUCAGGCCAAGACCAGCGCACGGCUGGUUCACCCACUGGUUAACAACAUUUUAACUUUCACAAUUGAAACAGUAUUUGGCUUGAAAGGUAAGCAGCUAGCUAUGACUGUUUCACUUGCUGUUAGAACGCCCUGACGUUCUCUCCUUGUUGAGCAGCACUACUUUAGGAAAGACGGCGUAGGACCAGAGGAUCACCUUCCUCCUGGACCCGGCUGGGACGCUGAGGACAAUACGUGCUUUCAUUUCAACUCUUUCAGUGGCAGAAAUGUCUUCCACAGCGUCCUCCUGUGGUUAAUAUUAAGUUUAUACUAAACAACCAGGUUCAGUGAUGGUUCAGGGUCAUAACUUGUCUACCUGAACGAGUCCGUAAAACGAUCCGGUCUUCCCGUUAAUAAUUCUCCAUUCUUUCUCUAUCAGCCCUUCAGUCCAUUUAGUCGCUUCUGAUGUGAUUUGUUAGUCUAUUUUUCACAUCGUCCCCAUUACAGACCUCCUUGUAGUCAGUCUCCUUCCCGCCAGUGAAAUGUCCUGCAAAUAACCGUGUGACAAAGUGGGAGACAACUCACCUUUGUGAGUGAGUGUGUGUUGGUGUGUGUGUUGGAUGCUUGCCUUGCUCGGCAGGUGUGCUGGAGGCUAGAGGGGAGGGGCAGGCCGUGAUGUCAGCAGUGACAUCAGCGGGUUGGACCAGGUAUACGGGGGGGAGGGGGGGGUCGUAAUGGGUGUCACCUGUGCACAUGGUGCAACCCGGGCCGGGUUGAUGAAGGUGCAGGACAUUGACUGUUGGGGGGAAAAUGGUGGAACAUGUGUGUAGCUGAGGGCGCGUGUCAGAUGAGCUUAUGUUGAGAUUAUUCAGUUAAUGAAUUAGGUUUUGUUUUGUUGUUUGUGUUUAUGAGACGCGUAUCAGGGACCUUCCUUUUUUUUUGUCUCGUUGCCGGCCUCCUAAUUCCAGGAUUCUCUCGGCCGUGGCAUCCUCGCAAACUACAAGCGACUAAGGGCCAAAGGGGCAGAGGUCAAUAUCUGCUUCCUACACAAGCCUUAGCCUGACGGCUAAAAAAAGGAAUCAUGCUACCUGACAUCUUAGCAGGUAACAUGUCCGUGUUCAUCAUGUGUUGGUGUGGGAUGAAGCGUGUCAGUGACUCUGGACCAACGUGGUCGAGCGUCUUAUAUUUCAUAGUGGCUGUUUAGGGGGGAAAGGAAAGAGCACAAGACAAACGAUGUCUGUGACCUCGUCAGGGAAGGGAAAUAGAUCUGAAAUGGGUGUCGAUAAAUAGGGUGUCGCGUGCGGCUGACGCCAACUAGCUCCACGUAUGACUCACGUCUGCCUAUGUGGCCUUUGCAUAGAGGUCACUGCAGUGGACAGAUAUUCAACUGUUGUUUUCUUGUAUUUCAUGGGUUAUGAUGUCACACAUCAGCCACCACAGUGGAGGCCAUUGCAUCGUCCCACACGCUGCCCCCCAGUGGCAGGCAGUUGUAAGAGCAAGAUACAUUUCUCCAAACCGAGAUGGCUGACAGUCAGUCAGUCAGUCAUCGAUAUUUUGCCAAUCCUUCUAUACAAAGAGACCCUUGGAGGUAUACACGUGUUGGUGACAUCAAGUAACAUCUAAGGAAUUCAUAAAUGUUUCAAGUAUAGAAUUCAUAUUGGGAGGAAAAUAUGACUAAUUAUCUGUCCACUAAAUUCACUAAUGUCAUUCAAGUGGACAUGUUAAAUUAUCUUGAAAAAAUUUGAUUAAAAAAAAAAGUUCAAAUCUUGACGAAUAAAACACUUGGUAAAUCUUAAUUCAUGCAUGAAAAGGAUAUGGUGACGGGUUCCAAUAUCAAGCUAACGAUUGAUGACGCUAGCAUGCUGUCUAGGGUAGUGCUAGGCUAGGCUAAUGUUUAGUCAGUCUAGUAGCUUGCUGUCUAGGGUAGUGCUAGGCUAAUGUUUAGUCAGUCUAGUAGCUUGCGGUCUAGGGUAGUGCUAGGCUAAUGUUUAGUCAGUCUAGUAGCUUGCGGUCUAGGGUAAUGCUAGGCUAGGCUAAUGUUUAGUCAGUCUAGUAGCUUGCUGUCUAGGUAGUGCUAAGCUAGGCUAAUGUUUAGUCAGUCUAGUAGCUUGCUGUCUAGGGUAGUGCUAGGCUAGGCUAAUGUUUAGUCAGUCUAGUAACUUGCUGUCUAGGGUAGUGCUAGGCUAGGCUAAUGUUUAGUCAGUCUAGUAACUUGCUGUCUAGGGUAAUGCUAGGCUAGGCUAAUGUUUAGUCAGUCUAGUAGCUUGCGGUCUAGGGUAAUGCUAGGCUAAGGUUUAGUCAGUGUAGUAGCUUGGCGUAGAAAGAGGGACAUUGGGAGCUUAUAUGUUUGUACUUAGCUUAUCAAGAGAGAGAAAGAGUAAUGCUGUAUCUUCUCCAUGUGGAUUUAAUAAUGCUAUAUUAAUUACUGACUGCAGAUAAUAUAGUUAGCCAGGCUAUGACAGUAGUAUGUCCACAUUGUCUUAUUCUGUUCAACAAUUUAUAUCAGGGGUUGUAUUGAUAAUGAAUCUUACUACGAGGACGUGGUGGACGUAUAGUCACACUGCUUUUAAAUGUGAUUGUCUUUGUGCCUUUUGUAUGUUCAUGCUGGUGUUGUACGCCACCUCCACCUCCUCAUCACUGGCCAGUCUGUGCACAUUCAUCCUCCUCUUCUGUCUGUGGCUUUCAUAUAUUGAGUGAAUUAAUAAUGAGUGCUCGACCAUGCUUUAAUGUCAGCUUUCACUCUUCGUUCCUCAUUCUCUGUUUAUUCUGCUUUUGGGAGGGUUUUUUACCGCCUGCCUGAGUACACGUUCCUCCCAUUUCAAAAACUAUUUUUUAAAGCAUUUCUGAAUGGAAAUGAAUGACCAAUUUUAAUGGUUUCCUUCAAACACUUUGACCAGAUGUACAGUUAUUGCAACAUAUAAAAUAAAGUACACCACAAUUUGAACAUGUUUUUUAAUAGUCUUUAUUUAUGCCUUCAUCUCUUACACAAGACAUUUCCUAUCAAGACACUAUUAUAUUACCCACAAACCAUGAACGACGCUUCGGUAGUCUUGGCCAUGCAUGGACACGGUUACCAUCCAUCGGCCAGCGAGUUGACCGUGUCACCAACCCACCGACAGCAAUGAAUGUGAACUGGGAACCUGCUGUUUCACGUGGAGUCGUCCCAGCGAGGAGCCAUCCGUGAUGCUGUGGGUAGAUCCGUGGAAGCAGCCGAUGAGGCGUACAUCAUGUGUCCCAACCCUUCAGAGCACCGGUCUAAGUGGUCUGAGGUGGUCCGACCCCGGUGGUCUACCAAGGGCUGUUGCUACUGAACAAGUGAACGAGCUGCUUUCCUUCCGAUCCCUUUUUGAAUGACAGUUGGUUGUGUUUCAUUUCCCACAAUGCAGCUGUGCCAGAGAGAGACCCCUUCCACCCAACGUCACAUUGCAUA